rnacentral:rRNA from 1 species
GACGAACGCUGGCGGCGUGCUUAACACAUGCAAGUCGAACGGAAAGGCCCUGCUUUUGUGGGGGGCUCGAGUGGCGAACGGGAGAGUAACACGUGAGUAACCUGCCCUUGACUGUGGGAUAACUUCAGGAAACUGGGGCUAAUACCGGAUAGGAGCUCCUGCUGCAUGGUGGGGGUUGGAAAGUUUCGGCGGUUGGGGAUGGACUCGCGGCUUAUCAGCUUGUUGGUGGGGUAGUGGCUUACCAAGGCUUUGACGGGUAGCGGGCCUGAGAGGGUGACCGGCCACAUUGGGAGUGAGAUACGGCCCAGACUCCUACGGGAGGCAGCAGUGGGGAAUAUUGCACAAUGGGCGCAAGCCUGAUGCAGCCAUGCCGCGUGUAUGAAGAAGGCCUUCGGGUUGUAAAGUACUUUCAGCGGGGAGGAAGGGAGUAAAGUUAAUACCUUUGCUCAUUGACGUUACCCGCAGAAGAAGCACCGGCUAACUCCGUG